AUUGAACGCUGGCGGCAGGCCUAACACAUGCAAGUCGAGCGAGCGGCGGACGGGUGAGUAAUGCCUAGGAAUCUGCCUGGUAGUGGGGGAUAACGUCCGGAAACGGUAGCUAAUACCGCAUACCAUCGGAUGUGCCCAUAUGGGAUUAGCUAGUAGGUGGGGUAACGGCUCACCUAGGCGACGAUCCCUAGCUGGUCUGAGAGGAUGACCAGCCACACUGGAACUGAGACACGGUCCAGACUCCUACGGGAGGCAGCAGUGGGGAAUAUUGCACAAUGGGCGAAAGCCUGAUGCAGCCAUGCCGCGUGUGUGAAGAAGGCCUUCGGGUUGUAAAGUACUUUCGGCGGGGAGGCGGUACCAACAGAAUAAGCACCGGCUAACUCCGUGCCAGCAGCCGCGGUAAUUC
rnacentral:rRNA from 1 species